UACGGAGGGUGCGAGCGUUGUCCGGAAUUACUGGGCGUAAAGCGUGCGCAGGCGGUGAUGUAAGACCGAUGUGAAAUCCCCGGGCUUAACCUGGGAACUGCAUUGGUGACUGCAUUGCUCGAGUAUGGCAGAGGGGAGUGGAAUUCCACGUGUAGCAGUGAAAUGCGUAGAGAUGUGGAGGAACACCGAUGGCGAAGGCAGCCCCCUGGGCCAAUACUGACGCUCAUGCACGAAAGCGUGGGGAGCAAACAGG
rnacentral:rRNA from 1 species